rnacentral:tRNA from 1 species
GCCCGUGUGGUGGAAUGGUAGACACACGAGACUUAAAAUCUCCUGCUCUUCGGGGCGUGCCGGUUCGAGUCCGGCCACGGGCACCA